UACGAAGGGUGCAAACGUUGCUCGGAAUUAUUGGGCGUAAAGCGCACGUAGGCGGCUUUGCAAGUUAGAGGUGAAAGCCCGGGGCUCAACUCCGGAAUUGCCUUUAAAACUGCAUCGCUAGAAUUGUGGAGAGGUAAGUGGAAUUCCGAGUGUAGAGGUGAAAUUCGUAGAUAUUCGGAAGAACACCAGUGGCGAAGGCGACUUACUGGACACAUAUUGACGCUGAGGUGCGAAAAGCGUGGGGAGCAAACAGG
rnacentral:rRNA from 1 species